GACGAACGCUGGCGGCGUGCUUAACACAUGCAAGUCGAACGAAGUGGCGAACGGGUGAGUAACGCGUAAUCAACCUGCCCUUCAGAGGGGGACAACAGUUGGAAACGACUGCUAAUACCUCAUACUUAAGGAGGGGAUUGCGUUUGAUUAGCGGGUUGGGGGGGUAACGGUCCACAAAGGCGAUGAUCAGUAGCCGGUCUGAGAGGAUGAACGGCCAAAGUGGGACUUAGACACGGCCCAGACUCCUACGGGAGGCAUCAGUGGGGAAUCUUCCGCAAGGGACGAAAGGCUGACGGAGCAACGCGGCGUGAGUGAUGACGGCCUUCGGGUUGUAAAGCUCUGUUAAUCGGGACGCGGUACCGGAAUAGAAAGCCACGGCUAACUACGUGCCAGCAGCCGCGGUAAUAC
rnacentral:rRNA from 1 species